GNUCCUACGGGGGUGSCAGCCAGUAGGGAAUCUUCCGCAAUGGGCGAAAGCCUGACGGAGCAAUGCCGCGUGAGUGAUGAAGGUUUUCGGAUCGUAAAGCUCUGUUGCCAGGGAAGAACGCUUGGGAGAGUAACUGCUCUCAAGGUGACGGUACCUGAGAAGAAAGCCCCGGCUAACUACGUGCCAGCAGCCGCGGUAAUACGUAGGGGGCAAGCGUUGUCCGGAAUUAUUGGGCGUAAAGCGCGCGCAGGCGGUCAUUUAAGUCUGGUGUUUAAUCCCGGGGCUCAACCCCGGAUCGCACUGGAAACUGGGUGACUUGAGUGCAGAAGAGGAGAGUGGAAUUCCACGUGUAGCGGUGAAAUGCGUAGAUAUGUGGAGGAACACCAGUGGCGAAGGCGACUCUCUGGGCUGUAACUGACGCUGAGGCGCGAAAGCGUGGGGAGCAAACAGGAUUAGAUACCCCUGGUAGUCA
rnacentral:rRNA from 1 species